UAUAAUUAUGUAGUAUGUAAUUUGGGAUGAUCUUGGUGUUAAACCAUAAAGUUUUGUUAACCUGAUGGCCGAAGAGAAACUUAACGACUUAUAUGCAUAACCUAAGGGUUAAAUUACAAAUUCAUCAAUCAAAGAGAUAAGAAAUCCCAAAUUUCUGUGUCUAAGUAGGGAUUAGAAACCGCCAUCGGCCGGAGGUCCUACCGCGUCGGGGGUCGCUUCAGACUCCACUGCGAUGGAUCUGAUUUCUCCUUGGUAGUUGGCUUGAUACAUGUGUAUGAAUCACUGCCGCUCCAUCAUGUUCAUAUUGAUCAGCGAUUCCAGAUGCGUUUUCUUCUCCUGUACGGCCAAAUUGCAAAACUACCAAAGGGAUAAGGCACGCCGGUCGGUCAUGCCGUUGCUUGCAGUAGCCUCCACGCCGAAAAGGGUCGUGGCUAUUCGCCGCUGCUGCCGAGCCACAACGCCAGGCCGGGCGUCAUAGCUGGCCACGCUGCAAAGUCGUGGGUGCCGCUGUUGGUGGCCUGAGAUAUUCGCUGUGCUACGAGCCGCUACCACAAAGAGCAGAUGCGCAGCAGACGCGGUUAGCCUCCGUCAUGGGCCGAAGCGACGUGCUCGGAGGAGCAGCGCGUGAGGUGUCGCCUCACGCCAUAGGCAGUCGGGGCUGGUGACACAUCCGAGAGUCGAAGGAAGACGCUGCGCGUGCAAGCCGCGGGCCAUCGGCGUCACCACCGUUCACGGGACGAAGCACCGACAUGUGCUGGUUACGCAUGCGCCGGGUGAGCAGUCGCGCGCUAUGCCGGCCGUUUGAUGUCGCCGCGCUGGAUCUCCGUGCUGCAGGAGGAGUCUCGCCGGAGGUCGUCUGCGCGCCUCCCGCAGUCCCACUGCCGCUUAUGCCGGAGCAUCUAAUAGGUUGGAGGGCACCACACCCGAUCUGCCGCCGCGCCGGCAGGAGCCGCCGAGAGGCGUUUUGCACCACGCGCGGGUCGGAGGGAGCGACGCUGCGCCGCUGGCAUGCCGCUGUCUCCUGUCCUGGAGCGGGUUUGCAACAAUGAAGACGUCGCGCGCGUGCCGGAGGGCGUUGCUGCGGAGGGCCGGCCGUGGGAGCGGCAUCGACGACACUGGUUCGAGUGUGUCGUCGGUGAUUCAUUGUGACGCGCGAAUGCAUCCACCGUCGUCCUUUCGAUGUGGCCUAUUUCUCUAAUCGAGAGCAGAAUGUUGAUAACGUGUUAGAGUAAAACGAGAUUGAAUUGAAGUGAAUGGACCAGUAGUCCUAUUUCUAUUGAUUCUCAAGUAUAUAGACAUCUGGAAGAGGUGCGAAGAAGAGGUGUUUGUUCGGAGGCAUCCCUCCAGAACAGGUGCCUGUUGGCAAUAGACAUAAAGAGGAGACACGACUGUUCGGGUUA